CUUUUGGCCACACCAAGAGAAAAGUUACAAGUUCACAGUGAGGUAACUACAUUUUAAUGGUUGGUUUUGUGACCUUAUAGGCUUUGGCUAUGGAGUACAUUGUUUUAAAGUUAGUGAGUGAGGCCCUGUACACUGGACCUUUGCCCAGGGGAAAGAUGUUUCUAUGACAUUGACUUUUUAGAAGACAACAUGAAAUACAGAACCCAUGCCCUGACUUCGGCUGCACAGAGUUCCCUAGAAACUGAGAACAUUCUAGCCCAGAGGCCAUACAGUCUGCAUGUCUCCCAUCAAAUCAGGUUCGCAGGGCUCUGAUUGUAAGCUGGGAACUGUACUAGGCCCUGUGGAGAGGGUAAAUAGAACUUCUUGCUCCAGGAGAGCUUAUAUUUUUGUACUGACAGGAUAUUCAUACCCAAAGCUCUGCAUCCCAAAUCCAAUCCACAGCCCCUUAAAGGUACAAACAGGACUUGGAGGGAAGUGACUAAUCUCACAGAGACCAAAGGGUCUUCAGGGCUAUUGACUCAAGGCAUGCGGAAAAUAGGCAAUUCUGUGGAGAGUCAUUUUUCUCUCCAAAUUUAAGUGUUAUUAUUUAUUGCUUUGUUAGAAUGCAGACGUGCAGCUGGGUAAUAACUGGAGAUCAUGGGAGGGGCAUCAGAACACUGUGACAGUGACACCAAUAUUUACAUAGUCUCUGCCCCCGGUGUGCUCAGAGGCGCUUUACAUAGUUUUAAACUAUAAACAAGAAUUUUCUGUAACAUGUAACAUACCAUCUCCAGAGCAGACACAGUGAGAGUCCAAUAAGAUGGGAAGCAGGGUCUCACACACAGCCAGCAAGUGUUUGCAAUGCUAACAGCAUCCUUUAGUUACCCUAGGUUCAGCUCCCCUUUAUAUACUUAUUUGCUUGCUUGUUUGUUGAUUUAUUUAUCGCCUCUGCAUCUUGAUUGCCUGCUAUGGAAAAACAGUCAAUGUUCAAGAGAUUCUCAAGUGGCCACUAAUACCACACAAUCAGCCCCUGAGUUAGGUUGGAGCCACUGGACUAUGUCUAACAGAUGCAUAAUGACAAACGUGAACUGUGUCACUCCUGGGCAAUUUACGAUUCCAGGCUGAAGGGAUACCUCGGUCGUUAAGAGCAAAUACUACUCUUGCAGGGAAGCCAAGCUCUGUUCUCAGCUCCUGUAGCAGGCAGGUCAUAGCCUCCUACCACAGCAGCUCUAGGGGAUCCUAUGCCCUCUGCUGGCCUCCAUGAAUGCACGGGCACCUGCACUCAUGUGGACAUGGUCACCACAGACACACACAGGCAGACACAGAUACAAAAUAUAAAAGGAAAUAAUCUGUUAAAAUAAACUAAAUAUUCUACCAUUGCUAUGGAGAACUUGAAGACCACAUACAUGGAGACCAAAGAAGUCACAUGGAGACCCAAGAAGUCACAUGAGACCUGGGAGGUCAUAUGGAGACCUGAGAGGCCACAGGAGACCUGGGAGAUUCACAAAGAGCAGGACCAAGAGGAGCAAGAGCCCCAGUCACCAGCUGGGUAACAGAUUCUACCUAGCAUUCCUCAGACUCUGUAUGUGGAAUUAAUGUGCUGUGCUAAGCCACUCGGGUAGCAAGGUUUACUGUCAGCACAGCUCUUCCUAUCCUGCCAUACACAAUCCAUCAGCCAUUCUUGCCUCAGCAGUUAUUACUGGCAAAGUCCCAAUUGCUCACAGUUCCUUCUCCAUGUGUGUACAUCCUCAGGGUGACUUCCUCUCCAGCACCAAGAAGAUGAGUCCUGAGUUGAUCUCAGCCAAUCAUGGUCCUUGGCAGGUUCAGAAGGCUCUGGCAGCUGAUCUACCUCUGAACAGGGAGAAAUAACUUUUUCUUGGUAAUUUCAGGAAAGGCUUUCUCCAACAUGGUCCCCUACACACGUGCAGCUCUAAGGCUAAGGGCAGAGUCUACCUGGUGAGAAUGGCAGGGAAGACAGAAGGAAAGCGUGUGAGUUCUUGAAAUAACUCAUGAGCCAUAAGCCAACCAAGCAACUCUCACAACUGUGCUUUGCUGAGUUAGUUGUCUGAAAACUAUCUACCACUCAAGUCAGCAGUUUCAACCCAGCUGCAGGGGAUCUGAGAAGAGUUUUAGGUAUAGCCUUACCUCAGUCACGAGCCAAGAUCCUGUGCUGAUCUGCCCUGGAACCCAGACAUCAGCCCCAGAGAACAGACCGCUAUGGGAUACAAGGACAGCAAGCCAACCUUCCUGAUAGUUGUGAAACUGGAAGCACCGGCCACAGGACUCCUGCAAAUCCACACAUUCAACAUUUCCACAGGCAACUCUAUAAGCUCACACCCCACACUGCAAGAAAGUCCACACUGCAGAGAGCCAGCCAGAAGGACAUGGGCCACCUUCCCUCCAUCUGUCACUGCUCCUGGGCCUCACCCUCUGCAAACUAUGCAGACAACCCCCCCCCCCGAAUAACAGCUGUCCCUUCCCUUCAUCUUGCUUUUCUAGGAGUGGAAGGAGGGUCCUGACUUCUUCUGACUCCCCGUGUU
rnacentral:lncRNA from 1 species